UGGGGGAAAGUAUGCCUGUUUUUGUGACUUGUUGGUAACUGCCGAGUUCUUUUCCUUGGGACUAAAAACAAUUUACAGCAUUGCCAACAGCAUUCAGUACAUUCAGAACAGGAUCAUUUCACCCAGAGCUGACCGAAGGCCUUGCUCGGGACAGCAUCGAGGACGGCUGUCCAGCAGACAGGGGAGUAUGCCAGGUUCAGCAAGUGAAAAGCCAAGCAGGGCCAUUUUAAGCAACACAGCUUAUCAAAGAGUCUUUAGCAACAUAAAAACGAGCAUGUGUUAUUUGCAAACCAUCUGAACCAUUACUCAACCUGAAUGUUCCUAAGUUUUUGCAAGGGAUUUGCUACAAAUCUGAUCUUAAACUCACGGAAAUCCUCUGAUAUCAGCAUCCCAAGUCCUUGGAUUAAAUGGAGUUUAUUCCAGGAGCUUGACCCUUCCUGGAACCACACUGCCAGCUACCCAGGGAAGAGGAGCAGGCUAGAAUUGGAGAAAGCCAACUGCAUUGCACUCUAUGGGUAGGCAGAAGCACACUGGAGAUAAAGGCCUGGUUCAGUACCACACAUUUCAGUCACCAAAUGAGAAACAAUGGCUGCCAGUCUUCACACCCUUCAACAAUAAAGAGCUUUCAAGCUCUUGCUGUCAACAAGAGUUCUGGAAUGAUUACACUGGCUGAAAGACACAACGUAUCCACCCUUCCCACCCAUGGAUUCUUCAUCUAAACUCAAGCAAACCAAGACGGACAGCAUUAAGAAAUGAACCUGUCCCUGUAUGUGCAAACAAUUACCCUAUCAUGCUCCAAACAAUGUGCUAUAAUAACUGUAGCAUACUACCAGCGGUUAAAACUAACCUAGAGCAGACGAGAGAGCAUGUGCACACUACAUGCAAUACUAUUGUGCUUAUACAAGGGUCCUGAGCUUCUGAGGAUUUGAGCAUC
rnacentral:lncRNA from 1 species